UCUCUCUCUCACUCUUUAUUAUUCUCUUUUCUUUCUUCCUUUCCUUCCUCAUUCUGCAGCCUAAUUUCAAAGCAAACAAUCAAAUCAAUUCAUUUAUUUAUAACUUCAAAUUCAGCUGCGAUUAUCGUUUAGAUCUUUGCGCUAGCCUUGCUGUUCAGGAAUCAUGUCUCUUGCACGGCCUCAUCGGCCAUUGAUGGUCAUUUCCGAAGUGAUGAGAGUAACACUGGUUCAGUAUACCUCGCCCAGCGUUAUAACAGUAAAAUGAUUGGAAGCAUAUAGAUCCCAUUGUUUCUUGGAGCCCUCUGCUGCAACUGGGAGUUGACACAAACUUCAUUUUCUUAUUGAAUUCACUGAUUUUUUUGUGCAGGAUGAACGCCUACAGCAGCUGCUUCACCUAUUGAAUAUCGUGAAUGCUAUGUGCUUGGUGCUUGGGAUGGACUUCAAAUCAACAAUUUGCAGUGUGCAUCCGUCUCUGGACAAUGCAUGUGAAAGAAAAAGUAUAAGUGCAGAUACAAUUCAAGGUUUAUCUGCUAUGAUAUGUACGCUUAAGAAUGUUAAGUUACAGCGCAUGCAAACGGUAUGCUUAUUUUCAAGUCAACUUUCUUUGUAGCAAUCUAUCGUCUCUCAUAAUGGCAUUGGCACCACCAUUACCUUUCCCUCUCUUCACAAGGAUGGUAAGCUGAAUUCACUAGAAGACAAGCAGGUGAACUACUUUUUUUCAACUGAGUAUUAUAAGUCUCUUCUCUAUGAUUUUGCUCUGCAAGUUACUUCUCCAAAUUAAUUGUUUGCUUAGUAUGAAUUAAUUAUGCUUCUUGACUUUGUGCAAGUUCGGGUUUUGCUUCAAAUGAGAUGUUCUUGUUUGGGCAGUUUGUGGCUUUUUAUGUAAGUCCAUAUAUAAUAUUAAUGUCUUACUAAGUGAUGAUAUUUAGUUGUUUGGGCAGAUGGUGAUUUACCUAUUACUAUGGACAGGUUAUGAUGAGAUUAUUUGUUAACUUGUAAUGAAAAUCACAGCUCUAUUAUUUUCUUGACUUGUGUUAUGUUUGAGAUGUGCAGGAUAGGAAGCUUGGGAUCAAUUCAAUGAAUUGGGAUGGAAGUUUGGGUGGAUGAAUGGAAUGUUGUUGACUGAAAGCCGCUUCAGAGUACUUAUUUUUGUUGAAAAUUGUAAAUUGACUAUUCUAGCUACUUAGAUACAUUACUUGGUUGGUUAAUAUUUAACAGUUUGAUUAUGGAUGGAUGGAGUUAUUUGGAUUAUUAAAUAUUUAUAUAAUAUAUGUUUUGGUUGUAGCA